UUUUUGUUCGUGAAACAUACCAAAGAGACAAAAAAAGACGACACAUGUCGAAGAACCCGAGGACAUUGAUGAUCUGGAGGACAUCGAUGAAGGAGAAGAAAGCAAUUUCUCGGAAUGCGACUCCGAGGAGGAGCAGAACUUUUUAGCUGGGAAGGACCCUGAUUUUGAGCUCGAUGAAGACUGGGCCCCGCCAAGCAAAAAAAACAAGAGCUGAGGAUCCUGUGUCUGAGGAAGAGGAGCCGGUGGCCGAGACCAGUGGGACAAGAAGAGGAAAGGGUGCUGCAAGAAGCAGGGAGAGAGGCAGAGGAAGAGGGAGAGGCCAAGGCAGGGGAAGAGGGUGCUCCCACAGCAGACAGGAGAGCGGAGACGCAGAACCAUGGCUUAGGACGGACAUCCAGGACACCAUACCACCACAGCCCACGUUUCGCCCUAUGAGGACUCCUGGCCCCCAGCGUAUCUCUGCACAGUACACAAUAUUAGAACUAUUUUUACCUUUGUUUCAUUUUAUAAUACAAAUGUUCACUGCA